GUGAGGAAUAUUGGUCAAUGGGCGGGAGCCUGAACCAGCCAAGUCGCGUGAAGGAAGAAGGAUCUAUGGUUCGUAAACUUCUUUUGCAGGGGAAUAAAGUGCGGGACGUGUCCUGUUUUGUAUGUACCCUGAGAAUAAGGAUCGGCUAACUCCGUGCCAGCAGCCGCGGUAAUACGGAGGAUCCGAGCGUUAUCCGGAUUUAUUGGGUUUAAAGGGUGCGUAGGUGGUUUGAUAAGUCAGCGGUGAAAGUUUGCAGCUUAACUGUAAAAAUGCCGUUGAAACUGUAGGACUUGAGUGUAAAUGAGGUAGGCGGAAUGCGUGGUGUAGCGGUGAAAUGCAUAGAUAUCACGCAGAACUCCGAUUGCGAAGGCAGCUUACUAAGCUACAACUGACACUGAAGCACGAAAGCGUGGGGAUCAAACAGGAUUAGAUACCCCUGUAGUCC
rnacentral:rRNA from 1 species